rnacentral:lncRNA from 1 species
CUCAUACAAUCAUUGUUUAUAUUGCAUAUAACAUGAGCACAUAUACAAAUGAUAUAUCCUGUACAAGGACAAACGUAUCGAUGUAGUACAUGAGACAUAAAUACACAUAUAUUGAAGACAUAUUGCGGUGGUCUGCUGUUAUCUGGUCUUUGGUCAGGUUGUUGUCUCUUUGACAUAUUCCCCAUUUCCGUUUUCAAUUUUAUUCUUAUUUACAAUUAAAAAGACGAAAAACAUUGUAUCAUAAAAAGCAUGGUCGAAACAUAAAGAAAAUAAGAGAUAACAAUUGUUUUGAAAAAAAAAAACAUGUUCAUGCAUGUUCUUUUGCAUUUGCAUUUCUUGAUAGCAAAAUAAAAUCUUGCUUGUAUUGCAACAGCAUGCAAUAAAAUUUCUUCUUUUUCCAAUGUGCAUUUUCACUUUGCAUGUCAAAAGUUCUAUAUCUGCCAUAUCAUAACAAAAGUUUAAUAUGCCAAAUUCACAUGAUAGUUUAUACAAAUUUGCAUCUUCACAAUGAUAUCAUUAAUCAUACAUAGUAAAAGGGAAUGAUCCCCCGUUUCCCUUUCAACAACUGGUAUUCUUAAAGUAACAAAGUUACCUAGCUGUUUCCAUCUUUGCAUUAUUUUUCGACACUUUUUAAUGAUAUAAUUCAAUUUCAGGUACUGACAUGAUAAAUACAGGAGAUUAACAAAUUAAAUUAACGUGACUUUUUUAAAUAGUUAAAAUAUUAGAUUUAUAUUUCCGUUUCAAUUGAACUUUUUAUUUUAUUUCAAAAUUUCAAUUAUGUUGAUCUGUAAUUUACAUUUGUAUUUAAUAAAUUUGACCAACUUCUUAUAAUUAGGCAGACCGUACGCGUACAGUCCGACCGUAUGCGUAUUUUGAAAAAAAGGUUUGCAUACGGUCAAGACCGUAGGCGUACGGUCCUAAUACUCAUAUGGUCUAGAACAUAUACAUCAUCCACAGUUUAAAAGAAAAAUAAAUAUAACAAUAUUUAAAGAAAUCUAAUUUGUUGUAAAACUUUAGUGAGUUGUGAUGUGAGUAUCUUGCUACUACAUUACGAUUUAUCUAAUGUGUUGUCUAACAAGUAAUUCUUGCGAUAUAAAGACUCAUUAGAAUAACGGCCUCAUAGUUUUGAACCAGUGAAUACACGUAUCAUCAAAUCUAAAUAACAUAUAUGACGGAGAAAAAACUCAAGUUUGGUUACUCUCUUAUUCAACUUUCAACUCUACGCGAUUGUUUAAAAGCAAUGUGUAAAUUACGUUUUAUAUACAUAUACAUGAUAUAUUGUGUUAGUACAGUGGAUUUUUAACACAAAUGGUUUACUUACUGCAAAAGGGAAUUUGUAUUACAUAUUUGCUGAAGCAAUGAUAGUUCAUCUAUUUGAGAAGAAGCUAUAAUCCUAUUUACAUAUUGUUUAGACAAAACAUGUUAUUUAACACACUUAAUAAGCCAAAUGGAUGCCGGAAGUCUUUGCAUAUAAUUACAGAUAUGUGGCGUCAAAAAGAGGACAUAUAUCUACUAAUAAGAUUUGAUUGCCUUUUGAAGCUGUUCCCAAAAAACAACAUCGCCGUACUCAUCAUUUGGAUACUCAAUAUAUGAUUGACAAUGAACCAGUUCCAGUAUUUUAAGUGGAAGAUCGCAAGCAGACAUUUGCUCGUAAAAUACUAGGAAAAGGAUGUUCUCACAAUUGCGUUCAUAGAUACUCUCCAUUUUAGCCAUAUUAUAUUCGAACAUACACCAGUACGAAGCUAAAUAAUUUGCAGACAUUAUGACAAUAGUUUUCCGGCUGUUAUGAAUUGCGGAUGUAAUAUUGGUGGCGAUGUCAUUUCCCGGUAGGAAAUUACGCCUAUGCAAGCACAACUGAAUUCCACCAUUUUUUUCCAGAUUAUUGAGAAGUUUAUGGUGGACAAAUGUGUCAUCCUCAUUUGCAUAUGAGACGAACGCGUCAUACAUGUAUAGUCGUUCAUCUUUGUCGUCUGAACGAGGUUCGGGGUCAUGCCAUUUGACUUUGACCAUGUAGUAAAGAUAGCGUAGUUUCCAUCUAUAUCUGUAAACAAUACCACCACAAAGAAUAAAAAUAAACAUCAAUAUUCCUGUCGUUAAUCCAAUUAUUAAGCCUUCAUAUGACAUACAUUCCUUUUGUAUUGUUUUAAAAACUUCUCUCGGGUUUUGCAGAAGACUGAUGGUGUUUUGUGAUGUUUUACAUUCGUAUUCUUCCCGAUGAUGAAGAAUGGUUGAUGUGUAAAUUAUCCAUUUGACGAAAGACUGAGAAUCACAAUUACAUACAAGAUUAUUUUCAGCAAGGUCAAUAGUAAGAUUUUUACUAAUUUUGGCAAUCGAGUCCAACUCGUUCAUGGCAUAUUGACUCAGUGCAGAUAUUCUAUUAUUCCGUAAAUUUAAAGACGUGAGUUUUUUCAUAUGAGAAAGUUUAAAGUUGAUAUCCUCAAUCAUGUUUUCACUGAGGUCUAAUUUUUCUAAAUUGUGUUGCUUUUGAAAUAACAGAUGUGGUAUAUUCGUUAUUUUAUUUUUAGAAAGAUUUAUGUACAGGACGUUAUGGAGGUUCUGAAAUAUUUCUCCGUUGACAUCCUUUGGUAAAACAAGUCCUAGAAGAUUGUUUUGUAGCAGUAAACAUCUUAAAUUGAUGAAAUCUGAACUAAAAAAUGUCUUUGAAACAUUGGAACAAAAGUUUACUGAAAGGUCCAAAUGUGUUAGUUUUUUUACAUUCGUUAUUGGACCUGUCCAUGUAUGCAAGAUAUUAUCACUCAAAUCUAUAUUUUCUAUUUCAUUUUCAGUGAAACUCAAGUUUGGUAGUUCAAGUUUUACGCUGUUAGACCUCAUCGAAACCUUUAUCAGAUUCCUUGGCAUUGGAAAAACAAACUUACCAGAUCUAUUUUUAAACAGUUCCAAAAUUGGAAGUUCUUUAUAUAACCAAUUAUUUUCAGAAUUGAUGGUAAUAUUUUCUUCUUUAAUCGGACAUUUUUCUACAUAAGAUGAGAUCAUAUCAAAAGGAGAAGUAUUGUCAGACAUUUCCAGUGAUACAAUUGGCAUAUUUGUGAGAUCAAGGAAAUAUUUGCCUGCAGAUAAAACGUUUUUCGUUAUGUCUACACUUUUGAGUGUUUCAGGUAAAUAUUUAAUUGCUCCGGAUUCUAUUGUCUGGAUACGGUUCCCGGCGCCUUCCAGUCUAACAAUUGACGUAUUCUGUAAAUUCCAAAUGUGAGAAGUUUUCAGGACUGUAGUCUUUUCCAAAAUACCAUGAAUAUAGUUAAAUUUCAAGAUUUCAAUUGCUGAAUGCUGCAAAUCGGUGGUAAUAUUUUCAAGCGCGUCGAAUCGUAAACAUGUGUUUAGAGAAACGUCAAUUUCCAAUAUAUUUCUCAAUAACUUAAACGUUCCUUUGAAAAGAUAUUGUAUUUUGCAUUGGGAUAAGUUCAAAUGAGUUAUUUGAGGCAAGAACAAGAAUGUUUUCUCUGUUAGUAUAGUCAACUUGCAAUUACCAGUUAAGCCAGAUAGAUCUAUUUUUUUAAGGUUUUUAAAAUAGCUGAAUUUCUCAUCGAGAAUUGCAAUUUUGUCUGCAAUAUAAUCUAUUGACAGCGAUUCUAGUGAUCGUAGUUUCCACAAAUCUGGCACGAAUGAUGUACGGACAUUUCUUUUCAAAUUCAAGUGUUUUAAGUUCUCCAGGAAAUGAAAGGCUGAAUAUUUAAACGACCAGUUUUCAAAUUUCAAAUCAUUGUUGCUAAGAUUUAAAGAGAGUAAAUUUGAGAGUCCUUUGAACGAGUUUUGUCGUACUUGACUAAUCUUAUUGAAAGACAAAUCCAAAGUCGUCAUUAAAGAGUUGCCUACGAAAAUCCCAUCUUGUAUCAUACUGAUAUUAUUAUUUCGGAGAGAUAACUCUUGAAUAUUGCUUGGAAACACAGGUAUACGAAGUAGAUCUUUGCCUGAACAAUCUGCUAUAAGAUUUCGUGAACCAGGAACGUCUUUGUAUAGACAGCAACUGGCAAAUUGACAUGCUUUCCAUUCUUUAAUAUCAUGGAGGAUUGCAUAUUUGCAACUACUUAGUAAAACAAAAGAAGUAACUAACAUGUAAGGAUGGUUGAUGUUCCCUGCAGAGAUAAUAAAUAUGCAGUUUAUAUGCAGUCAAUUUCAAGCUUACAAUUGUACUAAGAAAGAUGCGCUGUUAACAAAAAUAAAAUGCAAUUGCUUAAGCAUGUUAAGAAUGGGAAAUAAGAAUACUAAUUCCCUAAAAGUAAGCAAGAUAAACUAAAUUAUUCAUAAAAAUAAUGCAAAUCACAGUUCGAAAUGAUGUUGACCUCUGUGAACUGAAGAAUGUUUCCUUUUUCAAUCGUAAAAAGAUAAAAUUUUUGUUAAAAUUCAAUGGUAAUCUACAGAAGAAAAGGUCACAACUGUUGAAUAUAUGAGUUUGAGGUGUAUGCUCCAAUAUGGUAAGGUAUGAAUUUUUUGGUAAUGAGACAAUUUCCCAACUUGUUGUGUUUUAUUUCAGUUAUGAUUUAAAAAUACCUCAUCAUAGAUAUAUACCAGGCUUAUGUAGACCAAUUUCAACUUACCGACUUUUGACUCGGAAAAUUUGCAUUUUUUCCACAGGAUACAUUUUCUAUGGCGGGACAAGCAAGAGCAACAUAAAUAAGGAAAUUCGAGAAUUCAAUCGCUACAAGUUUGAGGGUGAAAUGCUUUAUAUGCACGAAUCAUCGGAAAACAGUAAGCAUUCCCCAAAAGCUGCGAUGAUUAUAUAUUUGAUUUUACCUCUUUUGGUCGGUCGUUAUUAACCGAGUAUCAAGAUGUUCUACCACACAGUAGUCAAUCUGUCGAAAAAUUAUAGAAUCCGGCGCCAAAAGUCGGUAAUAUUAAAAUAGUAUAUUGGUAACUCGAGACGUGCGUUUCGUCUGAAUAAGACUCAUCAGUUGCACUUGAAUCAAUUGUAAUGAAAUAGGAUACAAAGUGAAGAGCUGAAAUAUCUAAUCAGUAGUGCCUUAAACGACCAAGAAAAUAGAUGCCAAAGAUUAGAAAAAUCUGUUCUAAAUGGGCUUUUAAUCUCGUUAAAGCCAGAGACCACAAGUUAAAUGGCUGACCCAUGAUCACCUACAGCUUCGUUAUUGUCAUUGAUGCCGGGUUAAAAUAGCUUUAUAAGUGUUACCCAUUUGUUUUGUGCAUAUUGUUGAUGAGGGGUUAAACGCAUUUUGAACGGAAAUGGGAAAUGUAUCAAAGAGACAACAACCCAACCAAAAAAAAAAGAAAUCAGCCGAGGACCACCAAUGGACCUUUAAUACAGCGAGAAAAUCCCGCACCCAGAGGCAUGCUUCAGAUCCCUCAAAUGAAAAUAACGUACUAGUUCAGUGAUAUAAACCGACAUACUAAACUCCGAAAUAUAUUAAAGAAAGUAAAGUUAAAAAUCAAAAAUCAUACAAGACUAACAAAGGCCAGAGUCUUCAGCUUUGGAAGGGCGCAAAAAUGUGGCGGCGUUAAACAUGUUUUUUUGAGAUCUCAACCCUUCCCAUAUACCUCUAUCUAAAAUAGAAAAAUAUAAACGUGCCCAUUUGUAUGAGAGUGUAUGAAUGUUCUCACCUGUAUCCGGGUGUAUGAACGUACUCACUUGUAUCUGAGUUUAUAAAAGUAUUCACCUGUAUCUGAAUGUAUGAAAGUAUUCAACUCUAGAUGAGUGUAUGGAAGUAUUCAACUGCAUCUGAGUGUAUUAAAGUACUUAACUGUAUGUUGGUGUAUAGAAAUACUAUCCUGUAUCUGAGUGUAGGAAAUUACUAACUUGUAUCUGAGUGUAUGAAAGUACUUACCUUUAUCUGAGGGUAUGCAAGUACUCAAAUGUAUCUAAGUUGUAUGAAAGUACUCACUUCUAUCUGAGUGUAUGAAAGUACUCAUCUGUAUCUGAGUGUAUGAAAGUAAAAUCUGAUUGUAAAAAAUUAAUUCAUUCUUUCUCCAUAUGAUAUGAUUUGGUGAAAAUAAGAAAAUAUAUACUUACACAUCUUUUAAUCAUCCUUAGAAAAAAUCAAAUAAAGACGCACAAUUUUAUAGUUAGUAUAAAGUUACCGAACCCGGAACAAGAUAUUUAACUUAAUAUGUAUAUAAAAUGAUUGGUCAUGAAUUUUCCUCAGUUUAAAGUUCACAGACACUGUUUAAUAACGCGUAUAUAAAAGUUAUUUAUAAUCUAAAAAUAAAAAUAAGUUGUAGUCUUCUCAUAUUACGGGUCGUUAGUUACGGCGACUUGAAAUGACUGCAUCUGAUUUACAUAGAAGUGAUAAAUAAUUAAUUAUCUUUUCUCUAUUCUAAUCAAAACAAUUGCUAUUGAAAAAAAGGAAUAGUGCCUUUAUCUAAAAUUUCAUGAUGCAGUAACACCAUCAUGAUCGGAUCUUAGUGUCUGUUUUGUUGGCAAAUUGAUACAUUUCGACUGCUUUGUAUGGCAAUAUGGAUCGCUGUAUUACAAGUUGCUUUUUUUAUUCGGGUUAAAUUACCAAAACCUGAAUGCUUCUGCUUUUUCAAAAGAUAAGAAGGAAGAAAGUAUCAAAAGAGAGAAAUGUAGCUUUUGGAAACUUGACUGUAACUAUUCACAUUACUGUGUGUUUAACUUGUACAAAACAUUGUCUUGUCACGUAAAGGGCGUGUGAACGUGACCAAAUUUAGAAAUACAACAAUUUGAAACGUUACUCAUCUGGCUGGCCAUUUGGAGAACUUCUUGUUAAAUCGUCAAAGUAUUUUUCAAAAACUUGUAUUUUCUAGAGCCAUAAACAGCCCUUAAAUACCCCUGCCCCACGGUUUGAAAAAUAUAAAUGCACUAGAAAAAAUUCAAAUUAGAAAUGAAAUUUUAAGGAGAUAAUAUUAUCAGUACCCUUUCAUUUUAUAUAUUGCUUACUUAAUCAUCGUUAUGUUUAUUGAUUUUGAUUACAGCUGAAAAGGCGUACAGAAUGGGUCAAUUAGUUCGACAACAAAAUAGUCCAACAGGUCUUUGUUUCAUUGGUUUAACAAGUCAUUCUAUAAAUGUGUUUUCAAUGUCAAGAGCCUGCAAUUGGAUAUGGUUGUUGUCUUAUACAUACGUUUUCUGUUGUUAUUGUUUUUGAAUUAACAGCAAAGCCUUUGGUUUACUUGUUAUAAUUGUUUUCACAAUUAUUAUGAUGGAACUUUUUAAAGCGUACCGUAUGGUAUCGAUCUUUUUAGUUUUUAAAGGCCAGUCAGUGAUGUAAAGAUGAUUUUACCUACGUUCCUUGUUUGUUUUGUUUUUUUCAAUUGUUCUGAUAUUGCCAAUCAUCAUUCAAAAUUAAACCAGAAAUAAUUUUAAAACAAUACAUCAGUGUAGAUUAGGUGCGGUUAGUUGAAUUACUAUACAUUUCAAGAUAUGAAUGUAUUGCUGAAUUUAAAUGAAAGAUCUGCAGGUGAUUAACAACGAAUACAGUCUGUAUUCUAGAUAUAAUUUGUGUUUAAGUCGUAUUGUUUGGUUUUUUUUUCUUUUUCUCUGGGGAAGGGGAUUGAUUUAUAAAAUUUUAACGGCGUUCAUUUAGUUUUCAAUCCAGGUUCAACCCACUAUUUCCAACACAACAUCAACACCUUGUUAAAAGUGAAAAGACGAUUGUUUUUCAUCCGUGCCGUUCGUUAAUAUAGUGCAACGUCGAUUUUGUUAGAUUUUGUGGACUUCUCCUAUUUUUAAUUUACCAUGACUAUCUGAAUUUUUGUAAUGCUUUUCUAUCAUUUGCAGGGUUUUAAGUCCCUUUUCCUUUGAUUUUGUUAACUUUAUAAUCAAUCACAUUUAUGUUUUUAAACCUGCGUGUUGUCACAAUUUGUUGUUGUUUUCUCAGAUUGCAGCAAAGUCAUCCUGUUUCCAUAAUAACCCCAUUUUUACCUAAAAUUAUAGAUCUGUGAUUAAUAAUCAUGCAAUCUUAAUCAGCAAAAAUAGCCUAAACGGAUUUUUGCAUAUUAAAAAGAAUCAUUGAAAAUCAAACCGAUAUAUUUAAUUCCGGCCCGUGUUACACAUGUAGACAUAUAUUUGUAUAUCUCACCUGGUAUUACUAUUGAUUAAAUUGGUGGAAAACUGCCUUAUUCAUUUGUUAUUUUACAUUAGGGAUAGAGACGUCGUUCAUAUUCAAUUACAAGUUAAACCCAUUUGCAUUGUAACUAUGUUUCUUUUAUAAUUACUGAAGAAAAAACAUAUUUAAUGACACAAGAUACAAUGAUAUCUAUUAAAUUACCAUCCUUGGGUCUGUUGUAAAACGGUUUUAAGUCAUGCGUCAAAUCGAUAUUUAAAUCUAAUAUAUAUUACCUGUUCAAUGACGAAGUGUAAAAUAGUUUUGUAAUCAAUUGUUGUUUCCACAUCAACCGAUUUUUAUACAUGUUUUUAUGAUAUCGAAAGAACAGAAAUCUUAAUUAAAAAGUCAAUUGUUCAUGAACAAUUGAAUGGUCUUUCCUUUUUUCUUUUAUUAAUUGCCUUCUUAGUUAAAAAUAUAUGGUUUCUAAGGACUUUUAUGGUCAUAAGUGGUUGCUUAGGGCAAAAACCAUUCCUAAGGAUAAAUAUAUUAAAAUAAGUUAUUAAAAAUGUCAUAUGUACUAUUCAUAGUAUUUAAAGUUAAAAAAAAAGUGAUUGCUAAGGACUUGUAUGUCGUUGCUAGGGACAAAAAUGUCAUUUCCAGAAAUAAAAAUGUCAUAUUUAUAUUAUUCAUAGCCUUCUAAGUUCAAAAAUAUAUGUUUGCUAUGGUCACGUAUGGUGUUUUAUGUCGUUGCUAGGGACUUGACCUCUGACCUUGACCUAACUUUGUAGAUCUUAUUAUGCUGAUAAUUUUUGCAAUUCAAAGUUUCUUUCUAUCUCUAACUUUUGAGUUGUAAGCAAACAAUCAUCAUUUCGGACCCCAAAAACAGUUUUGGUGCCCUAGUUCCAUAACAGUUGGUCCAAUGAUUUUCAACUCAACAUAACAAAUGUAGAUCUCGACAAGACACAUAUUUUCUCCGUUACAUUUUAUCAGCCAUCUUUUACGGUUAUUUAGUAAAUCUGAUAACAAGCUAAGGUCAAAAUCUAGGUCAUGACCUUGACCUUUGACCUUAGGUCAAUUUUCAUAUUCAUGUGAAUUGAUGAUCAUUUGUGAUGAUCCUAGGUAGCUACAACUUACAGUUUUUGAGUUUGUUAAUUUUAAUUUUCAAGGGGGGCAUAACCCUACCAAUGAGUCGUUGAAUCUUUUCAAUUCAAAUGUAACGAAGCACCAAAGUCUGUUCCUGAACAAAUUCCACCCUUUGUUUUUUGUCUACCUAUUAUGGUUAUGGAGUUAGAAUGAUAACAAGUUUUUCGGUGUUAGGGGAGAUAACCCCUAUAAAGGAAAUGUUACGGGGUCGUGCCCUCACCACAAGAUAGCUUUUGGUCAACCGAUACUAGAUACCUAAUAUCAUUUCAACAUGUCGCGUACUUUUUUUGGGAAAUUUCGUUAAAGUUUGGCGGAAAGAAUAAUAAUAAUAAUAAUAAUUAAACUGUCAAUUGUUCUUGAACAAUUGAGAGGUCUUUCCUUUUUUAAUGUAAAAUACAUGUUCCAACAGACGUAGAAUGUAUUGAAAAGGUCAAGGUCAACCUUAAAAAGCUCGAAAACACAACUAAAAUCCUUUAAUAAGGUUAAAAACACUAAAUUCGCUAUCUGGACAUGACCUUGACCUUUGACCUUUUGACCUUUGUCAAGGUCAUUGGUCCCCAUGCCAUUACUUGAAGACCCAAGGUCUAGGACCUUUGGUUAUAUAGUAAAGCUGAUUUGUCUUUUCAAAACCUAAAAAGGGGUUAUGCCCUUAUAGAAAGGUCAAAUCUCUUUGAUCAAAUGUAACAAAGUUGCGCAUAAUGACCAAACAUUUUCCACAUUUAAAACUUCUUAAUAGAAUGGUUUCUGAGAUUAUCCCAUAACAAGCUGUUAGGUCAGAGGUCAAGUCAACAUACAAAUUUGACUUGAGAUAUUUUUUAAAAUACAUGAAUGAUGAUGAUUGGUGAAGUCCUAUGUGUCUACGACUUACGUUUCUGAGUUUUGGUGGCCAACCGACACCGGUUAAUUUUCAUAGGGGCAUAACUCUACCAAUGAGUCGUUGAAUCUUUUCGAUCCAAAUGUAACGAAGAACCCGGGUCUGGUCCUGAACAAAUUUCACCCUUCAUUUUUUUUCUACCUAUUACGGUUACGGGUGUUGGAACGAUAACAAGUUUUUGGGUUUUCGGAGGGAUUACUCCGAACGACAAAAUAUUUCACUCCAGGGUGAGUUCCGGAUAGGUAUUCAUGACACCAAUACAAAGUGUGAAACAUGAAAGCGACAUGGUUCACGUUACGGAGGGAAAUUUUGUCAAAGUUUGGCGGAACAGAAGAAUAAUAAUCAGAAGAAAUACAGUAAGGUCUUUCCUUUAGUAAAGGAAAGACUUAAUUAAAACCAAUUGUUCAGAGAACAAUUGAAGGUCUUUCCAUCAAAACAAUGUGUUUUGAUAUGAAAGUUGUGAAACUAAGUUUAAAAUGUCAUUUCAAUCGUCAAAUGAUAGCUUCUAGUACGCUGAUUCCAAAAAUAUUUGGUUUCCAUACAUUUUUUUUAAAAUAAGGGAGAUAAUUUGUUACUUCCGGUUUGAAAAAUGUUACUUACGAUUAUAUUUGAAUAAUUUUUACUUGACACUGAUUCCAAAAUAUUGGUUCUAUAUACUUUUAUAUUAAUAAAGUACAAAAAAAUAGCUACUUCCGGUUUACAAAAGGUCACUUCCGGUUUUUUCUUUCAGGUUAAAUGGUUUGAUACCUUUUCCAAAAGUUUCAUAGCUUUUCAUGUAUACAUGUAAAUAAAAGCAAAGGUCAAAAUCAGAACGUCAAAUUAAGCUAUGACCUUGAGAUCAAUUUCAAGGUCAUGAACUAAGGACCUCAAAUCAAAAGACCAUAGGUCUUAAUUAUAUUUGGUUAAUGACUUAUAUCACCAAACACGUAUUUUUAAAUACAAGAGGGGAGAAAACUCCCUUUUACAUUCAACGUGCCCUUGCAAUAAAAAUUUAUGUCUUACGACAUGUCGCAACUACAAAUUUAGUAAAAAUAAUUUGUUGAUAUCUUAUACGGUCUUUGGAUAUAAGUGAAAAUAAGCCAAAUUCAAAUAUUAGAAUAUGACCUUGACCUUUGACCUUGACCUAAUUUUCAUUUUCUUGGACCAAGGACCUCAAAUCAAAUGAUCCUAGGUCUCUAUCACUUAUGGUUUAUAAGAUAGAAAUGCAUAUCACUUAUAUCAGAUGCAUAAGGGAAAUAACUCUCAUAUGGAGCGGUCAUAUUGCUUCGGUCAAAAUAGAACAAAUCAUGCAAAGGAUUUAACGAGCAAUUUUGUAAAAUAAAUUUGUCAUUAUCUUUUACGGUUGCGAAGGAGUUGUGAGCACAAGGAAAACAGUGUUUGGGGAGAUAACUCCUACAAAGAAAAGUAUUCGGUUAAGCAGGGUAAAUUUCAAAAGCGCAUAAACUGUUCGAUAUCAUAUACCAAAUAUCAAAGCGACAUAUUGCGAAACAAAUGUUUAUCGCAAGAACAAAAUUAGGCGGAAGAAAAAAAAAAAUAAUCAGAAGAAAAACAAUAGGUCUUUCCACAGAAAAGUGGAAAGACCUAAUAAUAAUAAUAAUCAGAAGAAAUAUAGUAAGGUCUUUCCUUAUAGAAAAAGGAAAGACCUUAAUUAGAACAUGGACGAACGUCUAGCUAGGUAUUCCUCAUUCAUGCCUUAUGUAUUUUAUAAACCAGUUUUUUCUUCGUCUUUUAUUUCUUAGCACAUUGACCUAUUUUCUUAUUUCUUUAUUAUUUUUUGUUUUGUUUUAUAUCGGUACUCUUUAUCCUCAAUGAGUUCAAAUCCAUCAAAUCAUUACUCCUUUUGUAGCAUGCAUAAAUACUUCUGCUUUAAAAAAAACACACAUAAAUGGGGCGGAGUUGUAUAGUUUAAUUUAAGGUAUAAGUCACAGUUGGGUAUUUGCAAACAAUUUACACAUUGUGAAAUAGGUGCUUAGAUUCGAUGUAUAAAUAAUUAUUACAAAAAGAUUCCCGAAACAAAAAUAGACAAAUAAGAAAAACAUUUCAUUCAUUUAUGGCUACAUUUCGGGAAAGGGUUUUAUACUUUCAUUGAAACGUUGGUAUACUUUAUGACAAAGAUAACAAAAUAACCCGGUCUACCAACAUUCGUCCAAUAUUUGAUUAGCUGUUUGUUGCUAAACGUCCAGUGGCAAUAAGUUUAUCCAUAUUAAGGACGAGAACAAAUUGAGAAUAAAUAUGAUAAGUAGGUUCUGUUAUAGAGGCGUCCAGGAUAAAGGUCGGAGAAAUAUAGUAUGCCAUGAGAAAUGAGGAUAUAUUGGAUAGAUACAGAAAUGUAGCCUUGCAACUGGUUAACAACGGACCAACAAAGAGUUGUUGAAAGGGUUCUUAACGUGAAAACAGUGAGGCACUCUCUUUACAAAAGGCAUCGAAUUGAACGUACUCAUUCUGGCAGUAAGUGGCUGCACAUUUGUACAUCCCACACGGCCAAUCUGACGCCCCACUUUGGCGAAGGUUUUACUGCUGUUUUGGGGAAGAUUAAUGGUGACCAUACUUCUAUUCAUCAGUCACCCUUAGGGAGUCGAUAUUUGUGUAUCAGUUUGGAACGUACCAGUCGACUAUAAUACAUUUGUCAACAAUUAUUUUUUAUAUGAUACCUUUUUUGGCAUUCAGUUCUGUACCAAUCUAUAUAAUAUACCUACAUGACACUGAAGUUUUAAAUUUCAGAAAUGUCACAUCUGUGGAGAAUUAGAUAGUCAGCAGUGGUUUGGUGUUUAAAAUUUGACGAAGCAUUUUGUGUUAACUGCAAAGAACACCACUAUUAAUAAAAAAUGGUCAACAGACGCUAUAAAGAGAGUUAUGAAUGAAUCUUUCAGUUGAAAUAGAAUGUGAUAUAAACGUUCAUUUGAUUUUUUACAGAGUUAUCUCUCUGUAGCGUUGUCUACCACCAUAAUACGAGGGUUUUUUUAAUCAGAUAGCAUAUAUUGUACUUACACAUUGUCAGGUUUGCUAAAAAUACCAACAAGAAAUAAAAUUCAACACAAGAUUCUUUGGAAAGAAUAAAACAACUGCACUCGGAAGUACAAUCAUAUUAAAAUAAACUGUUUAAAAAUUCCAACAUUGUAAGUGUUAGAAUAGAUUAUCGUUGGUCAUCUAAACGAGAUUGAUUUUCUCGCUUGAGCUGGUACAGCGAAAGUGAGAAAAGCAAUCAGUUGAGAUGACCAAUGAAAUCUGUUUAUCGCAACUAUGAGGACGUUGUCAAUUUCAUGUCAAUUUCGUUAUCAACGCCACGUGGCCUCCUUUUCUAGCGAUAAUUUUUCCAUCUCAAAGCGAGACGCAUGAUAUGAAAAUUAUCACAAAAAAAGAUCAAAAGAAAAAUGCACAAAAUAGCGAUAAUAUCGAAUACACAAAGUGCGUGUUUCCAAAGGGAGUAUGACAAUUUAUAACAUGAAAAAAAAAAAUGUAGCACACAAUUCUUUAGAAAUUGUAAUGAGACUACACCCGGAAGAAGAUAUUGAUAUAAGACGUCAAUUACCCCAAAAACCCAAAUCGUAGGUGUUAAAAUGUUGCAUACAAAGAAGGUGUAAAUAAGAGAAGUAAGGUUAAACAGGCUACAUAUAACAGAAAUAAAAUCCAACACACGAUACAAAGUUUAUCAUUGUGUAAAAUGUUUAAACCCGGGUGAGAAUAUGGAUUUAGACACCAAAUCUAUUAAUAAUCACAUAAUAGGAGGAUAGUUCCGAAUAUACACGAAAUGAUGAACCAACAACGUGAACAAGUUGUUAAUGAUUAAAAAAGGACGAAAUGUACACUUGAAUUAUAUAAUGACUAUAGUGUGUGAUAACAUUGUGUGAGGGAAUACGACGUUUGAUGUACCACUGUUUACUCCAGUGCAUUUUAUGACAAUACCACUGGAUCAAUCAGAAUUAUUUUUUUGCAGUGUUUUAAGAAAUGAUUUUGCUUUGUUGUCGCGUAUUAUUUGUGAAACAUUCAAUGUUUUAAAAAGGCGAAUUUUCUUUAUAAAGUCAAUGAUUAUGUUGACUUUUGAAGGCCAAACUUUCUACAGCCUUAAAUACGCUAAUGAAAGAUCCAAAAACUAUACCAAUACAUAACGACAUGUUUAUGAAAUUAUAACAAAUCUAUUGGUUAACAAAUUUUUACUAGUUAUUGCAAAAUAAUGAACUUAAUAUAUCUGACAUUUUCUCCCUACCCAGUUUACCCCUAUACAUUUUCAUGAUGUGGACUGGUCAUUGUUAUUGAAUCGUAGGCAGUUUGAUUGGAUUAAGUUGUUAUUAGUUUACCUUCAAAAUUGUUUAUGCUUUUCAUACAUGACUAUUGAUUAAUUAGAACGUGCAUGAAUGUGUACGGUAACUAAAAUGACCUUCAAACUGGACACUGGACGAGUCAAUAUUAUGUUUUAUCAAUGAAAGUUAAGGUAUGAAAGGUAAGAAUUGCCACUUAUUCGAUUUUCACAAAUUUUCGGAAUAUACAGUUGAAAGGUUAUUUUUUUAAAGCCUAAUGUGAAAAGUAAAGAGAAAGUUUACAAAUAAUACGUUUUGUUCCAUUAAACAAGUCAUUUUCGUAAGAGAAAUACCGAAAUAUAUUUUACGCACGACUACAGCAGGUAAAAUUAUAAUUUAUCAUAAUAAAAAAAAGCAUUUUUCAGUCUCAUUGGAAUAUGUUGAUAACAAUUAAUCCCAAACUUAAGAAGUAAGUAACUAAAGUCAAAAUAUGUCCGAUCUGCCUAUUUCUGCACAUCAAAAGUCAAUACGAUCGUUUUAAAGUCAAUUUCGUCUACCUCACAAAAUCUUGUUAGGCACUAUAGUUAAUAGUUUGUUGACCUCUAUAUAUAUUUGAUCGUUAGGAUAUCUUUUCAAUUAGACCAAUAAUGUGUAUCCUUUAAGUCAUAUAGACAGAAAUCACUGUACCUGCUCAAAUCGCAGUUAGAGAGAUUAAAUGGCUCAGGUUUAAAUACUUGUAAACAAAUUUUACAAAUGACAAUAAAAAAUGAUUCAACAGAAAAUUUCUCACCUGGCAAUACUGUAUUUUCUGUUUCAAAAUAUAGGAAAUAAGAAAGUAUCAAAUAGAAUAGCUCUAGUUAGCAGAACUGUUAUAUGUUAUAUUGUGUUAUAUUUUCACGACGUAUGGUCUAUAUAAAGGGGAAAUAAUAUUUAACCUUCACAGCAGAGAUGGGUCCGAUUACUUUCAAUGUAAUUGAUUAAAUUACAAUUACUUUGUCAUUUGUACGAUUAAAUUAAAUUAAUGAUUACAUCAUUUCUGAAAGUAUCUGAUUAAAUUAAUGAUUACAUUGGCAAAGUAAUCAUGAUUACAUCUGAUUACAAUGAAUUUAAAAAACAAAACAUUUUGAAUGAUGUGAAUGAUAAACGUUCAAUAUAACUAUAGAAUUUUGAGAAAGUAUUUUAUAUGGUUCAAUUAUAAAAUGAUAACUUCAAAUUAAACUUCAUCUAUUUAAAUAAACACCAAAUUUAACUUCAUAUAUAUACAUUACACUGUAUCACCAAUGAUCUCUGAAUUAUUUUGAAUUAAAUUUAAUAAAGAUAUAUCAUAAGAGUUUUUUGUUUGUCUUCUGACCUCUUUCAUACUUUAUAUGUAUUCCAAGUUGCAGUUUAUGGAAGUUUAAAUAUGAAUGAAAUAAAGUUACUGGUUUAAAACUAUGUUUUAAUAGAAAUGUUUAACCAAAUUGUAAACAAUAUGCAAGUACUAAAAAUCAUUGCAUUUUACAUGUCCAGUCCAAUUUUUUAAAAUUCUAAACAACAUAUUUGUCCACCUUUUAAUUUAGUUUGUGCUAAUUAGAUAAAUUUUCAUGUUUGAUUUAACUUUUAUCAUAUAUAUUUCUCUACUGCUAUACUCAAUUGGUAAUUGAAAUAAAAACAAACCUUAAUUAGUCUCCUUCCUGUCAAUUCAAAGUUGACAAAAAUCACAAAAAUUAACAAAAGAUUAUAAUUCAGGGUUAAAGAAAAGUAUUACUUGAAUAUAUAACAGUUAUUAUCAAAUAUUAAUAUGAAGAUCAUUAUAAAACAAUGAAUAUACAUGUAUGUACAAUAUCUUUUAUCAAGAUAAUAGGUAUAUAAUUGUAUUAUAUGUCUCUGCUUAGGCUAAUGAUGACUUUUCAAUACUGUAACAGUUUAUUUUUUACUGAAGUAGACAUGCUUAAAGUAACCAAACCAUUUUAGUAUGUUAAAAAUUUAUCAAAUAUGAAUAACAAAGAGGUUCAUUUAAUGACCAAAAACACAAUUUUAGAUUUUUUUUUCAUUGUAAUCAGAAUGUAAUCAAAAAGUAAUCAUAAUUACAGGGUAUUUUGAAAAGUAAUUGAUUAAAUUAAAUUACAUGUAAUCAGACUUUUCAGGCUGAUUAAUGAUUACACUGAUUACUUGAAAAAUUGUAAUCAAUGACAGCUGAUUAACGAUUACAAUUACAAUUACCCCAAGUCUGCUUCACAGGCCAUUUUUAUCACAUAUUACUUUUGUUGUUUGGAAUUUUUUUACAUGAUUAUGAAUUGUAAAAAGAUGCAAGAUUAGCCUUAUUGCGCCUGACAGUUCCUUAUUUGUUUAACUCAUUGUAUAAGUAUAUGUCCUAAAUAAACUCAUCAUAGAUAAGCCAGAGUAUGUUAUUCGUUGUUUGUCGUUGAUUUCCGUUUUUCGUUAAUUUCCGUUUGUCGUUGGUUUCCAUUUGUCGUUGGUUUCCAUUUGUCGUUGGUUUUCGUUUGUCGUUGAUUUCCGUUUGUCGAAUAUGAUUUUCCUCAUUUUUUUCAUAGAUCAUGUUGUUUGAUUUUUAUUCGCUUGAAUUGACAAAAAACAAAAUAUAUUGUAAGUGUUAUUUUGGAAUAUUCGAACUUUGAAAAAAGAUCAGCUUUGCAGAAUUUCCUUUCAAAGUAUCAUUUUAACAGCCAAGUAUCACACACAACUAUCAAACGCUCUAAUAUCUUAUAAGUAUAUUACACUCUUUCGAUUAAAUACUAUUUUUCUUACAAUAAAUUAAUUUAAAUUUGAUUUAGGGAUACAACAUUUUUUUCCAUAAUUGUGUAAUGGUUCGUGUUCAAUGUUCUAAAAUCCCAUAUAUAAAUGUAUAGAAUCUUUAUUAACUGGUCAUACGGCCAAACUUAUAUAAUAUCGAUAAAACCCGUCAUUAACUUCCUUAUCUCAAAUAGCAUGAAUACAGGAUAGAAUGUUCAUUUAAUUUAUUAUGUUUAUAGUCAGUUUAAAGAUAAAUAUGUGGCGGCGUAACAUUUGUAUUUUCUUCUAAAGAAAUAUAAAAGGAAACAUGAUCAGUCAUUUAUACAUGAUCUGUAUAAAAUGACAUAAAAUCCGUAAGAAAAUCGUUUGUCGUGUAUAAAUUUUAAGUUUCGGCGCUCUUUUUAAUAGAAAUUUUAUUGAAUGCCUUUUUAUUAUUGAACUAAGGAACGUUAACAUGUUAACAUAAACAGUUCUAUGUUUCAUUGGUUUAACAAGUCAUUCUUUAAAUGCGUGUCCAAAGUCAAGAGCCUGUAAUUGGAUAUGGUUGUUGUCUGAUACAUACGUUUUCUAUUGAUUGUUUUAGAAUUUACAGCAAAGCCGUUGGUUUACUUGUAAUUAAUUAUUUCUCAUUUAUCAUGACGGAACCUUUUAAAAUGUACCUUAUGGUAUUGAUUUUGUUAAUUUUUAAAAGCCAGUCAGUGAUGUAAAGAUGAUUUAACCUACGUUCCUUGUUUUUUUUUUCAAUUGUUCUCAUAUUGCCAAUCAUCAGUGCAAAUUUAAAUUUAGAUAAUCUUAAAACAAUUCAUCAGUGUAGAUUAUUUUCAUGAAAGGAUGCGGUUAGUUGAAUUACUAUUCAUUUCAUAAUGUGAAUGCAUUGUUGAAUUUAACUGAAAUAUCUGCAUGUGACAAAACAAUAAUAAAGUCCGUAUUCUAGAUAUAAUUUGUGUUUAAGUCGUGUUGUUUUUAUUUUUUCCUUUUUCUAUGGGGAGGGGGAUUAAUUUUGAAAUUUUAAACCGUGUUCAUUUAGUUUUCCACCCAGGUUCAACCCACAAAAAAAAAAACAUUUAAAACCUUGUUAAAGUCAAAAGACGAUUGUUUUUCGUUCAUUAAUAUAGUGGAGCGUCGAAUUUGUUAGAUUUUGUAGACUUCUCCUAUUUUGAAUUUGCCUUCAAGUUGACAAUCUGAAUUUUUGUUAAUACUUUUCAAUCAUUUGCAGGGUUUUAAGUCCAUUUCCUUUGUUUUUGUUUACUUUUUAAUCAAUCACAAUUAUGUUUUAAAACGUGUUUUUAGUCACAAUUUGUUGUUGGUUUCUCAGAUAUCCUGUUUCCAUAAAAAUAUGAAAAAGAAGAUGUGGUAUGAUUGCCAAUGAGACAACUAUCCACAAAAGAUGAUAAUAGAAUAAGUAGACAGCUCUCUUACAAGCAAAAAACCCCUAACUGUAAAAAUAACCCCAUUUUACCUAACAUUAGAAAUCUGUAAUUAAUAAUCAUGCAAUCUCAAUCAGCAAAAAUAGCCUAAACAGAGUUUUGAGAUUAAAAAGAAAAAAUAUAUCUGUAUGAUUUGGAUCAUUGAAAAUCAAACCUAUAUAUUGAAUACAGGUCCGUGUUACACAUUUAAGCAUAUAUUUGUAUAUCUCACCUGUUAUUACUAUUGAUUAAAUUGGUUGUAAACUGCCUUAUUCAUUUGUUAUUUUACAUUCGGGAUAAAGACGUCGUUCAUAUUCAAUUACAAAUUAUCCAUUUUGCAUUGUAACUAUUUUUCUUCUAUAAUUACAGAAAGAAAAAAAAAACAUAUUUUAUUACAAGAGAUACAAUAAUAUCUGUUAAAUCCUUAACCUUGGGUCAGUUGUAAAACGGCUUUGAGUCAUGCGUUAAAUCGAUAUUUAAAUCUAAUAUAUAUUACCUGUUCAAGGACGAAGUGUAAAGUCAUUUCGCAAUCAAUUGUUUCCACAUCAAUGGAUUUUUACACAUGUUUUUAUAAUAUCUAAAGAAUGUAAAUCUUAAUCACAACAUGCACGAACGUCUAGCUAGGUUUUCCUCAUUCAUGCCUUAUGUAUUUUAUAACCCGGUUUCUCUUCGUUCUUUAUUUUUAUGCACAUUGCCCUAUUUUCUUUAUUGCUUUAUUAUUUUUUUGUUUUGUUUUAUAUCGUUUCUCUUUAUUUUCAAUAAGUUCAAAUCCGUCAGUCAUUAUUCUUGUUGUAGCAUGCACAUAUGAAUGAGGCGCAGUUGUAUAGUUUAAUUUAAGUUAUAAGUCAAAGAAAAAUUAAAUAUAUGCAGUAUUUGAAAUUUACAUUUAUCACCGAUUGACUACAGUUGGAUAUUUGCCAACAAUUUACACAUCGUGAAAUAGGUGCUUAGAUUCGGUAUGUAAAUAAUUACUACAAAAAGAUUCACGAACGAAAAAUAAGAUAAAAGGAAAAAAACUUCCAAUCAUUCAUGGUUACAUUUCGGGAAAGGGUUUAAUAAUUUCAUUGGAACGUUGAUAUAAUGUUUGACGAAGAUAACAAAAUAAACCGGUCUACCAACAUUCGUCCAAUAUUUUUGAUUGAUUGUUGGUUGCUUAACGUCCAGUGGCAAAUAGUUCAUACAUAUUUAGGACGAGAACAAAUUGAGAAUAAAUAUAAUAGGUAGGUUCUGUUACAGAGGCGUUAUGGAUUAGGGUCUGAGAAAUUAAGUUUACCACGAGAAAUGCGGGUGUAUUGGAUAGAGACAGAAAUGUAGCCUUGCAAAAGAGGGACGAAAGAUACCAAAGGGACAGUCAAACUCAUAAAUUUAAAACAAACUGACAACACCAUGGGUAAAAAUGAAAAAGACAAACAAACAACAGCACACAUGACACAACAUAGAAAACUAAAGAAUAAACAACACGAACCCCACCAAAAAACUAGGGGUAAUCUCAGGUGCUCUGGAAGGGUAAGCAUAUCCUGCUCCACAUACGGCACCCGUCAACUGGUCACAUACGGACCCACAAAGAGUUGUUGAAAGUGUUUUUAACGUGCAAAUGGUGUGUCAAUUUCUUUAGAAGAGUAUCGGAUUGAACGUACCCAUUCUUACAGUGCGUGGCUGCACAUUUAUACAUCCAACAUGCCCAAACUGACACCCCACUUUGACAAAGGUUUUACUGCUGUUUGGAGAAAGACCAAUGGUGACCGUACUUCUAUUCAUCAAUCACCCUUGGGUGGUCGAUAUUUGUGUAUCAGUUUGGAACGUACCAGUCGACUAUAAUACAUUUGUCAACAAUUAUUUUUUAUAUGAGACCUUUUUUGGCAUUCGGUUCUGUAUCAAUUUACAUAACAUACGUACACGACAUUGAAGUUUUAAAUUUCAUAAAUGUAACAUUUAAUCAAAAGGUACCAGAUAGCACAAAAUUGAACCAACUGUUGAUUAUUAGAAAUCACCUUGAUAAGAAUUCAAUAGGCCAAAUUGGUGCUUACCAUUAAAAGAUAUAUCAGAUACUUUGCAAAUGCACGACCAACUUCGAUUCUCGAACAUAAACUAACACGUAAAACAUGUUGGUGUUUAGUACAGACACAGACACAUCGUAUCGGUCACCAUAAUAUCCAAAGUAUCUAUUUCAGCCGUUCAUCGUUAAAGAAUCUUUUGAAUCAGUAUGUGUGUCACACGCGCAUUCUGGAUUUCUUUUUUGUUGAUACAAAUUGAUGUGGAUUAUGGAAUGAUUGUUAUUUCGUGGAUAUGUGAUACACGUCUAUAAAAUUAUAUGUCGUUGAUUAUUUAAUUCAAUGUAAACUUAAACUCAACAAAUAUAUGAAUAUCGUUAUCAAAAAUAAAAAAAAAUAAAUAUUAUUUUUCCCAAGGCACUGUAAAUUUCUUUUCCACUGAUGAGUUUGAAAAUUCUCUUGGCUUCUUAUUCUACGGUUUAUAUGUUUUAAAUGGACUAGUAUAUUAUUCAUAUAUGCGUUUCGCUGUGAUUUUUCGUCAACUAAAAAUAUCGCUCUAAACUGACAAUCUAAAAAAUGGAUAUACAUGCGUUGAUACAAAAUGAUCGAUUGCUAUUCAACUUCAUUAUUUAUUUGAUCUUUGAACCUCGUUGGCAUGUCCAUAUUCCGACCUGGCAUUACUGUGCAUUUAAGCAUGAUCUACAGCUACUGAGAACGAUCAAUAUAACAAUACCAAUAAAGGUCCUUAUCUAAUUUAUUGUCAAAAGUUAGAAGGUGUAGUUUUAACUAGUUUGUAUCAUAACAGGCUACCAACGGGAUAUAAAUCUCGUUCGAAUAUCUGCCUAGUAGUUUUGAACAAAUGAAGAUCAUCUUAACUUAUCAACUUAAAUGAUGGGGAAAAAAAACAAAAUAUUUGCUAAUCUUUUUUUCAAAUUUUAAAUAAAAUUGAGAAUGGAAAUGGGGAAUGUGCCAAAGAGACAACAACCCGACCAAAGAAAAAAACAACAGCAGAAGGUCACCAACAGGUCUUCAAUGUAGCGAGAAAUUUCCGCACCCGGAAGCGUCCUUCAGCUGGCCCCUAAACAAAUAUAUACUCUUUCAGUGAUAAUGAACGCCAUACUAAUUUCCAAAUUGUACACAAGAAACUAAAAUCAAAAUAAUACAAGACUAACAAAGGCCAGAGGCUCCUUACUUGGGACAGGCGCAAAAAUGUGGCAGGGUUAAACAUGUUUGUGAGAUCUCAACCCUCCCCCUAUACCUCUAGCCAGUGUAGAAAAGUAAACACAUAACAAUACGCACAUUAAGGUUCAGUUCAAGAGAAGUCCGAGUCUGAUGUCAGAAGAUGUAACCAACGAAAAUAAAAAAAUGACAAUAAUACAUAAAUAACAACAGAAUUACUAACAGUAACUGACAUCUUUAAAGCACGUUAUGUAUUUAGUUUUAUAUACAUGUAUGUGGUUAGUAUGACAAAAUUAUAACAUAAAUGGUUUACUGACAUGAAAAGGAAAUCAAGUAUUUAUAUUUGCUAAAGCAAUAGUUUAUCUUGAAAAGACGUAGUAAUAAUAUUUACAUAUUGUCUCUAAACAACACAUCUAAUUAAACACAAAUAAAAAUCCAAAUGAAUACCGGAAGUCCUUGUACAUAAUUAACGAUACAUGCAUGGCGUUAAAUAGAGGACAUAUUCACUAAUAAGAUUUGAUUCCCCUUAAAGCUGUUCCCAAAAGACAACGUCACCGUACUCAUCAUCUGGAUACUCAAUAUAUGAUUGACAAUGAACCAGUUCCAGUAUUUGAAGUGGAAGAUCGCAAGCAGAAAUUUGCCCGUAAAAUACUAGGAAAAGAAUGUUCUCACAAUUGAGUUCAUAUAUACUCUCCAUUUUAGCCAUAUUAUAUUCGAACUACACCAGUACGAAGCUAGAUAUUUUGAAGACAUUAUGACAAUUGUUUUUCGGCUGUUAUGAAUUGCGGAUGAAAUGUUCGUGGCGAUAUCAUUACCAGGAAGGAAAUUACGCCUAUGCAAGCACAAUUGAACCCCGCCAUAUUUCUUUAAUUUGUGAAGAAGUGCUUUGUGGACAAAUGUAUGAUCUUCGUUGGCAUAUAACACGAAAGCAUCAUACAUAUAUAGUCUUUCAUCUUUGUUGACGGAUUUAAGUUCGGGGUCAUGCCAUUUGACUUUCACCAUGUAGUCAAAAUAGCGUAGUUUCCAUCUAUAUCUGUAAACAAUACCACCACAAAGUAUAAAAAAACAUUAAAAUUCCUGUCGUUACUCCAAUUAUUAAACCUUCAUAUGACAUACAUUCCUUUUGUAUUCUUUCGUAAACUUCGCUAGGGUUUCGAAGAAGACUGACUGUGUUUUGUGAUGUCUUACAUUCGUAUUCUUCACGAAUCUGAAGAUAAGUAGGUGUGUCAAUUAUCCAUUUGACAAAAGACAGAGAAUCACAAUACAUACAAGAUUAUUUCCAAUAAGAUCGACGGUUAGAUUUGUGUUCAUUUUGGCUAUUAAGUCCAAUCCGUUGAUGGCAUAUUUACUCAGCAUAGAUAUUCUAUUUUUUCUUAAAUUCAAAAAAAUGGGCUUUUUCAUAUGAGAAAUUUUAAAGUUGAUAUCAUCAAUAAUAUUUUCACUAAGGUCUAAUCUUCCUAGAUGUUCUUGCUUUUUAAAUAACAGAUUUGGUAUAUGUGAUAUUUGAUUUUUAAAGAGAUUAAUGCGAACUACGUUCGAAGAUUCUGAAAUAUUUCUCCAUUGACAUCAAUUGGAAGAAUGAGUCCCAACAGAUUUUUUUAUAAUAGUAAAUAUCUUAAGUUGAUAAUAUCUUCGCUGAAAAAUAUCUUUGAAACAUUAUAGCAAAAAUUUGACGAUAAGUCUAAAAAUGUCAUGUUAUUUACGUUAGUUAUAGGGCUGUCCAUGUGUGCAAGAUAUUGUCACUUAAAUUAAGAUUUGUAAAUUCAUUUGUGAUGAAUCCGAAUUUUGGUAUUUCAAAUUUCAUUUUGCUUGACGUAAGUGACAUUUUUCGUAGUUUUCUUGGUACUGGCAGUCGGGCAACAAAAUGAUCAAACUUCUCUAUCUGGAAAUCAAAGCGUGAACGUAAAUUAGACAACCAGUAAUUUUCAGAAUUCAUUAUAUCUGAUUGAGAAUCACAUGUCUCUAUGUAGCUUGUGAGAACAUUAUGUGGAGAGGAAAUUUCUAAAAAUCUAAAAUGUUAUUGGUAGUCUAACUAAAUCAAAUAGAUAUUUGCCGAAGGAAAAAGCGUUGUCCCUUAUAUUCACACUUUCAAAUGAUUUUGGAAAGUACUUUGCGGCCCCAUAUUCUACUCUUUGAAUACGGUUUCCAGCGGCUUCAAAUCUAGCAAGAGAUGUGUUUCUUAAAUUCCGAAUGUGGGAAGUCUUCAGUAGUGUGCUCAUUUCGAAAGUACUAUGAAUAUAGUUUACCUUAAGGAUUUUGAUUGCGGUAUAUUGUAAAUCUGUGGUUAUAUUUUCAAGCCUUGCGAACCUCAAACAAGUAUUUAAAGAGACAUCAAGCUCCGAAAUAUUUUUCAAACUUUCCAAAAAAUGAAAGGCAGAACUUUCAAAUGACAUGUUUUCAUAUUUUAAAUUUUUUAAAAAGACAGAUCCAAAAACUUCAAUAUAUAAUUUUCCUCGAAAACCCCAUCUUGUAUUGUACUGAUUGCACUCUUUUGCAGCAAUAAAUCUUGAAGAUUGUUUUGUAAUCUAAGUAUAAGAAGAACAAUCCGAUAGACGUUCUUCUGAAUAAUGAAUAUUUUUGCAAAUACAGGAACUAGCAAACUGACAUUCUGUCUAUUCCUUCAUCUAAUGGACUCUGUUGUUCAUGUUGUUGUCACAAAUAGCUUGAAGUAUGAAAGCAGCAACCAGGAAAUAAGAACGUUUGAUGGUACCUACGAAGAAGAUAUGCAUAAUUAUGAUUUUGAAUUGUCUUGAAUAGAUGUGAUGUUAAUAAUAAAUAAAACUAAUAUGCGUUAUCAAUGGUUACGAAGGAAAAAAAGCUAGAAAAAAUAAUUGAAUGCAAAUGUUUAGGCUAAACUAGUUAAUUUAAACAUGCAAACCAUAUAGUUUUGAUGUUGAUCGAGCGAUAUGACGCUUGUACGGUAGUGUCACCUAUAUUCGUGGAUAUAAGACUAUUCAAACGGAAUACGGUAAAACUAAAAAAACAACCAUUUGUUUUUUAUUUUGGUAAUGUUACCUUAGAACUUCAUUAAAAUAACACAAGUUAGUUUGAUUCUUUCCGUUAGCUAGUUUAUUUGAUAUGACCUACAUUUCUAUUGUACACAAAUCGGCAUAUGAUGCCAAGUGCGUCACCUUUUUUCAUGGAAAAAGUUCGUUCUAAAAAUAGCACAAGAAGUACACACAGUAUGGAAGCCCAGUGGUAAGCAUAAAAUUGUUAUUUCAUUCAAGCAUAUCUGUGUACAUGCUCAGUCCAGUGAAAACAAAACAAGUUUUCAAGACCAAGUAUUUAAUUUUAAUUUUUUUUUGAGACUGAAAACCUUACAAAAAUCAAAAAGAAACAAAAUAAAAAAUAGAAAAUAAAAAAUUUUAAGUUUUAAAAAAUUAGUAAAAUUAUUAAAAGUAACAAAAAUAGAAUUAAAAGUUGAUAUUGACAAUUCAUUUUUUUUUCACGUGUCUCUGGUUCUGUUAUGGCUUUUCCAGCUACUAUCUUGUAAAUGAAACGUCUUUCCUUUUUUGGUGGAUUUCUUUUUGACAAAUUUGUUGAUUUAUAAUUGAAGAAAGCUGUAUUUUCAUCCGGUUUUUCAACAGUAAUUUUUUCAACAACAUAAAUUUGGAUGCUUCCAUUUUCCGGGUUUGAUGAUAUAGGUUCUGUGUCAGCAUUGAUCUCUGAAUUGGACAUUACAUUUACUGCUUCAGUCGUUAUGUUUUCAAUGGCAAGGAUAUCUUCAACUGUUGUACAUGUAUUUUCCUCUAGUUGUCUCUGUUUAUGCAUGCCAUCAGAAAUUGAAAACAAGGACUGGUCAAUAGCAUCUCUAUUUAAUGGGUAUAUACCUGAUUUACAGAAAGCAGACUGUAAAUUUGUUGGAGAAAGAGCAAAGUUGUAAGAUUUGCAGGCAAUAGAACAUAAGUUGUACUUGUUAAUUACAGAUGAAUUGGUGCGUUGGAAUUUGUGACAUUCGGAACUGUAUAUUCUUGCAAAGGGCCCAAAACAACCAACAUCCAUGGGCUGAAGAACAUGGCUGGUAUGAAGAGGUAAUACAUACAAGAUAAUUUUUUUCUCAUCUGCCCAAUCAAUUAUAUCUGGUGUUAUGUGUGUCCUGUGGCCAUCAUAGAGAAGAAGACUAUGUUUGUCCUGCAUUCCAGUUACAUAUUUGAUGAAAUGAGUUUCUAGAUAUGACUGAAAAAUCUCUGAAUUGGACCAUCCAGUUUCAUUGACAGACCCAUCAGCACCAGGUGUGGCCCCUUCUUACAACUCUGUCUCAUACGUUUACCAGCGAAAAUGAAAUAUGGUGGAAUUUGAUGUCCUAAGGCAUUGCCACAUCCCAUUACCGUUGUUGUUUGGCCUUUUUCUGAGGACAAGGUAGAGGGUACAUACUCUGCAGAGGCUACAACAUUUGGGGGUUUAUAGUUUGGUUGUAAACCCUUUUCGUCGACAUUAUAAAUGCUCUGGGGCCUGUCUUUCAGCUGAUAUUUUUCCAUUAUACGGUCAAGUUCAUCGAAGUACCUAUAAAUUGAUGUCCUUGAGGUUGCCUUUGCUCUAAGCUCUGAGAUGGUUUUAGGUCUCCAUACCUUAAGUUCUGGUCAUCUACCCAUGAAGCCAUAAAACCAUCUCAGAGGAAGAUGCUUGUCAUCUUUUCUUUUCAUACCCAAGUGGACAGCAUACUCGGUUCCAAGAUCCACCAGUUCAGCUUUAGUGUACGCAUAAUCUACUACACCCAUUUCCUUUAUGUGCUGAACCAAUCUUGCCUCCUGUUCACAAUCAAACACUGGUGGUGGUCCUGACUUCACGUUGUCUACAGAGAUGUGGUCCAAUACACGAUCUCUCAAUGUCUGUUCAGGAAGACAAUACUUCCUUGCCUCCUUGGCAACACUAAGCUUGUUGUCAGUGACAUCUAGAUAAGCAUUAGUCAGUUUUGUUGGUGAAUAUGACUUAUGUUUCUGUCUUUUAAGUUGAACCUGUAAAAUACGAAAGAAAAAAUAACAUUAAUUAUUUUGUGAUACACAGAACAAAAAAAAAAAACAAAUAAAUUCACAAUAAAUUAAAAUGAUACAAAUCCUCUAUAAAACCUAGUUAUCAAUGUUAGAUGAACUUAAUUUACAAAAACUGUGCUCAAUUACUUCUUGAAAGUUCAUUUGAUGAAACAAAACUCAUCUUUUAUCGCUAAAAUACAUUGAAAUCAUAUAAGAUUAUGACACUGAUUGCGUUCCAUAGAUUUGUUUGGCAGACAUGCAGGGAAUCUCCUUGUUAGUCACGUGAUAUUGUUCAUUAGAUAGUAGAGUAAACAGACGACACUUGGAUUUGGGAUUAUAUCUUUGGAAUAAAAGUAUAUGGGUUGAUGGAAAUCAGUAAAAUUAGGUAAUAAGUAAAAUCCGCCAUUUUGAUAAUUAAAUAAAUAAGUAAACUGUCUUACCUUGCUAGAAUCUACGAGAUUCAUUUUGUAUGUUGACGUUGUAGGGAUAUCCUAUAGCAAUCAAAUCAUGCGAGUGAUGACGUCAUAACAAUAACACGCAUGCGAGACAUUUAGGAUUUCCGGAAGCCCACGAACUUAUGUAUCCACGAAAUUAUGUGACUAGACUGUACGUAUAUCCUUUCGGAUUUGGGUUCUCCAUACUUUACAACUUUGUGUUUUUUUUGGCCUUACAAUUUUUUAAAUUAUUCUUUAUUCAAGCGUGACUUAUGGGUUGUUGAUUGUAUAAAUACAAAAUUGAGUUUUUCGUAAAUAUUGAUAGCCUUUUGGGUAAUAUGACUACUGAGCUUUAUGUAUAUUCUCGAAUAUUUUUAAAGAUUACUUUCCAUCUCGCUUUUGUAAUUCAUCUUUUUUAAUCAAAAUUGCUCAUCGAAUAUUCAAGCCUAGUUCAGCGAAUGUUUCCUAUACAUCAUAAAUGGAACUCGAAAGAAAUCAGUUGAACGGUUAAAUCAAAUAUGAACUAAAGAACAUUCAAUUCAAAGAUUUCUAAAUACUUUUGCAUUAUAUAGCUAAUAUAGAAAAGAAGAGGUGGUCUGAUUACCAAUAAUACAACUCUUCAAAAGGGACUGAAUAACAUAAAAAUGAUCACUAUCUUAAACAUCUAUAGUUCACCAUUCGGCAUUCAACAAUGAGCAAAAGCAAUCUAUGAAUUAUUUUAUAAAGACCAUAGUGGUUCAAUCUAUUGGAAAUUAGAUACUCACAAAAUUCACAGAAUAAUUAUUGUAUCCUUAAAAUUUAAUGUCAAUAUAAGUGCUUAUUAUUUGGCCAUGAUACUAUCUGGAACGAACAUUCAGCAGCAUUGGAAUAUAAUCAGGAAUAAUAUGAGAUAGAUUCGGUAUGAUUUUUAUUGGACCAAUUUUCCAGCAGUCAGCAACUGAUAUAACAUUAAAGCAAGUAUAGGUCAACGUAUGUUAUAAGGAGCAAAACCCAUACUGGCUAGCGAAGCUAUACAACAUUCGAGAUGACAAAAGUAAAACAGUUCAAACUAAAAUGAUUUCGACUUGUGUCAUGUACAAAGCAAUGAACAAAGCACAAAUUUGAUACACAGCAACAAGCAAAUAACCACGGACUUGGGACAGGCGUAUACAGGAUGUUAUAAUGUCAAAAAUGUUAGCGGGUACCCAUCAAAUUCCUAACCUUGGACAGCAUACAUGAACACACCAUACACAUCGGUUGAAUUGGGUCAAACUCCUCAAAUCGAUAAUUUUAAGAUUAGACAAGAAUUACUGAUAUCAGUGUAAACUUAUUUACAAAAUUUACUUGAUAUGCCUGUUCAGCAUAGUGUUUAUGACAGAUCUUUGUUAUUCUCUGUUCAAUUUAUUCCCACUCUUUUUCUUGUUCCGUGUCAUUUAGAGCAUGUCUUAAACAUAGACACUUCUUUAAUUUGUUGUACACAUUUGACUUCUAAUGUCUUCUCCUGUUAACGUUGAUACAUUACGACUGUUUCGUAUGGCAAUAUGAAUCGCUGUACUGCUAGUACCCAGGCUUUAUCUGGUUUAGUUGCCAAAACCGGAAUAUUUCACUGAUCAAUGAAUUCACUGCUAUGUAAAUAUGACCUGUAUAGAUUAAGUAGACAAUUGUAUUUAUCUUAUUGAAGCCAGGAAAAGAGAAGGGGCAAGAAGACUCUAGUAUGAACGUAGAUCACACAUUUAGACAUAAAGGUGUAAUGUUUUCUUAAAUAACAAAUAUAAUUUUUAAGGAUAUCCAAACUUUUUCUAGAUUUUAUAUCAUAUAAGUCUUUUUGUAUUUUCCUUAUUUUACAUCCUUUUAAGCAUAUGUUAGAAUGAACAGUUGGAUUAUUUCUAUGGUUAAAGCAAAGCUUCUUUAAACUUUGUUGUUGUUUUCUAUAUUUUCAUGAAAUACACACAUAUUGGGACUCUGUUUUGACAUCCUUACAUUACUAAUAGUAUGUUGUUCAUUGAUAUAUUUCUUUGGGCAAUACCGAUCCAUAAAUACACCUAUAGUGCAAAAAAGUAUGAAUGAAAUGGAAAUUUUAAAUUAUAUAUAAAAAAGGUUUAGUAAUAAAUGUUUAACAGAACCAUUCAAUCGUAAUAUGUACGUAUGCUAUAGGUUUUGACUACAGAAAGGGUCCGUUUGUCCGACAGCCGAAUAUUUAAACAAUUCAUUGUUUAAUUAUUUCAAGAAGUUUUUAUUAUUUAUCAAGAAGUUUUUAUUAUUGCUCGUCCUAAGCAAAGCUCUUGUAAUUCAGUGACUGUGUACGGUUGUUUCAGUCAUAUUGUUUUCUGUUUAUUGUUAAUGAAUUUACAGUAAAGCCCAUUUGUUUACUUAUUAUAACAGAACAUUUUCACUGGUUUUAAAGUGAUAACCGUAACUUGAAUUACAACUAUCCCAAUAUGGCGUGUGCAGAUAUAGGUAAAAUCUUCACAGACAUUUACGGUUAUCACUUUAAUAUCAGUGAUUUUAGAGUAAGGUUUUAUAUAUUUUUUUUCUAAAGCCAUAUGGUUAUGUAAAAUGGUUACGCCUACGGCUCUGGUAUUUUUUUUUAUAAAGUUGUCAUAUCGCCGAUGAACUAUAUAAUUGAAAAAAAUAAAAACUAAAUUAUAACGUGUCAAUGUAGGCUUAUUUUAUGCAAAGAAUGCAGUAAGUUGAACUAUAAAUCAUUUCAAAAUGUAAAGGCUUUGUUGAAUUUAAAUGGAAGAUUAACAAAAUGGGAUGCACGGUACAACGCAAUCUUUUCAAUUGAUAACUUUUUAUGUUUUGAACCGCGUUUAUUCACGCGUUAUAUCGGUAUUCAGAUCUUAUAUUUAUAACUCGUUCAAGGACAAAGCUUAAAGUCAUUUUGUAAUCAUUUCUGUUUUCACAUUAAAGUGAUGUAUAAGAGGCUUUAUAAAUAUUUAUGAUACAUUAAGAAUGGAAAUCUGAAUCAGUAUAUGCACUCGAGCAUUUUGAUGAUUUUUACUCAUUAUUGCCAAAAGCAUUUUUGUUAUUAUGCUUUUUUAUAUUUUUGGUCAACUCCUUAUUCAAAAUUCAUCAUUGUCCUGUCUCUUGUUCAUAAAAAGCAUGACUGCUUUAAUUUAAACACAAAAACAGGGUGAAUGUCUUUAAUUCUAUUGAAAACUAUUGAUAACUGAUGAGUGGACUGCCUAUACUUAAUGAAUAACAAACAAGAAAAUUUAUAAAAAACAUUAUUUGAAAUAAAUUUUUUAAUACCUAUUGAUUAAAUUGGUAAAUUGCCGACAAUUUCCACAUCAUGAAAUAUGUGUUCAAAUUCGGUAAAAAACUGAUCACUAAAAAUAAUAUCACGAUACAUUUUAGGAAAAGGUUCAUCCAUUUUGUUUCAUUUUUUUUAUUGCUGAGCGGCCUCAAACUCUUACUAAAUGUCUUUUCUCUAUCUAGAUAGAAAAUUUAAAAUUGCAUUAACCAAUAGAUUUAAUUUGUUAGCAUUUUCAUUUCUGAGUUCAUUUUAUAAUAAUUUCAUUGAAAUAUUGGUAUAGUGCUAAAUGUCAAUAACAAAAUGAACCGGUCUACUAACAUUUGUUCAAAUUAUAUAUGAGGUUCUUUUUUGCAUUCGGUUUUGUCCUAAUUUACACAACAUAAUAUAACUACUUGGCAUUGCAUUUUUAAAUUUCAGAAAUGUCACAUGUGUGUGAAAUUUGUGACUCUCGCCACAUUACAUCAGUUGUUUGGGGUCACGAAUGUGACGAUAAAUAAAUUUAUCAUAGAUACGCGGAUUCAAUUUUGUAUAUUGUCUAAAGACCUAGCAAUGCCGCCCGAAUCAAAAAUAGUUAAAAAGGCCCGAAAAAAGUACGAAGUUGAAGUGCAUUAAGGACCAAAAUUCCAAACAGUUUUGGCACGUACAACUAAGGUAAUCUAUGUCUGAGGUAGAAAAGCCUUAGUAUUUCAAACAUUUAAAAGUUAUGUUGCCUGCAGAAAGCAUCACAAAUAAUUGAGAAAGCACAAAACUGAACUAACUGCUGAAUAUAAGAAAUCACAUGGAAAGGAUUUUAAAUGAGCAAAAAUUUGAGGUAACCAAUAGAAGAUAUAUCAGGUAAUUUGAAAAUACAUUAACAACCCUGAUUCUAGUAAAUACGGACCAGCAACUGUGAAGAUAUAUCUUUGAUGAGUUAAGACAUAGACAUAUCGUCUCGGUCAACCAAUUCAUGAUGAUGAUCAUAAUGUCUACAGUAUCGAUUUCAGCCGUACACUUCUGUUAAUGAAGUCUGUAUAGCGCUCAGUCUUUAUUUUCCUCUCUUGUAUUUCAUGUAUAUUUUCUACACUAAUUUCAUUUAUUAUGUUGAUACCGCUUUUUGCGGAUUAUGGAGAUAUUGCAAUUUGUGAAUAUUCUAACAAGUCUAUAAAACUAUAGUUCGUUGAUCAUUUGAAUGCACAGUCAUUCCAAAAAAUGGGUACAAUUACAAAAUUUUAGUGUCGCCGGCAAAUAACCACAAAAUGCAAGCUUAACAUAUGUCACAGAUAAUCUUUUUUCGUGUUCUAAGUGAUUAAUAUGUAUACUAAAAUAAAAUUAUAUUCUUUUGUGAUGUAUAUCGUAAAUAUAUUUGUGUGAUUUUCUAUUCAAUAUACGGAAAUCACACGAAUUCCGAAUGUCGCCAAGAAAAACUCCAAAUAUCGGUGUGAAUUAAAAUACUUUAUUUCAUCUAAAUCAUGAUUAGAUUUGCUUUUUUUAUUUGACACUAUAUUGAUUUUUAUCCACAAAAAUAUUUUAGAAUCAAAAGUUAUAAUAUACACUUUGAUUUACCCAUUAAACCAAUGUCGCCGAUAAACGUAUAACCUACCGUAACGUAUCUUUAGGUACAGUCAAAACAUAUUUAUAUGAUUGGAAAUCAUGCCCAAAGUGACUUUAAGCAAAGUUGAUACAUCAAAUUUUAAAAUCCUGCCUUUAACUUUUAUUGCAAUGAAACGAAAAAUAAAAAAAAAUCUUUCUCUUUCUCUUUUUUUCGAUUGUCGCAUAUAAGAAUCCAACCUACGUAACGCGUAUUUUGGAACGCACUAACCAAGAACAAAUCAAAAUGAUGAUUAUUUCAUUGAAAGCACCCAUAAAGCUUCUCAAUAAUCAGUUUUGAGAAAGCAACUCAACAAUAUUGUUACAUAUUUCCAUGUAUAAUGUAAAUAAAACUAACCUCCGUUUAAAUAACCUCCGUGACGCAGUUAUUUACAGUUAAGUUGUCAGACUUUUUUAUCAGUAUCAGCGGCUGCCGACACUGCCGAAAGUCAUUUUUGUAGCAGACAUCAUUUAUUAUAAAGAAAACAGACAAACAAAAUACAGAUUUUGAGAAAAAAAAUGUUGUUUUGAGAAAGGUAGGUUAACUUGUUUUUUCCCUAUUUAUGUGAGCAACAUUAUAACGUUUAAUAAACGUUAUAUCAGCCAUUUUCUUAGAUUUAAAAUAGUCUACAACACAACUUGUGUAAUUACGACGACAAUCAUAACUUUAACAGCGGUUUAUGGCAAACAUUUUCAAGAUUAUUUAGGACUCAUCAAUGUAACGGAGGUUAUGCAAAUAAAAAAAAUCUAAAGAUGCAUGUAAACACGAUCAUACCAAUUGAAAUUCUUGUACAUUGUUAUAGAUACCAAAUCAGUUCAUCAAUUAUCACUAAUAAAAAUCAAAAGGUGAUGUCAAUCAUAGACGACAUCAUUUUAUUUACGUUACGGAGGAUAGAAAUUUAAGGAAAAAAAGUUUUUUUUCUCUAACAGGACUUUACUCUUUUUAGAUAACGAUUUACUAAGAAAAAUGUUUAAUUCUGUUGUCUUGUUUGUCAUUUAAUUCCAAUAUUUACAUUCAUUUAUAUGUUUGCUGUUGGUAAGAACUGGAAUUGUCCGUUAUGGAGGUUUUAAAUGUCGUUACGGAGGAUAGAAAUUUUCGAAAUGAAACUAUUUUGACUCCAAAACUUCAUAGUUGAGUAUAAUACAUACAUUAUGGUGUGAAGGAAGAUGACAUUAUCUGUAUAGAGCUAAUAAAAUUAAGUUGAACAGUAUUCGGUUUAGGUAAAACAUAUUUUUGAGUGAAAGUUCAUGAAUCGUUACGGAGAUUUUGACAAGAACAAGUCCAUUUGACUAAAAGAAACAUAUAACUUGAUAGAAAACAGUUUUUUAGUUUGUAAUGUCAAUAAAUUGUUUAGAAAAGCUAGCAUUAAAGAGUUAAGUGUUACUAUGUAUCAGCAUUCAGAUACUGGUUUGAUAUCAACCUCCGUAACAAAGAUGGGGGUGUGGAUUAAUACAAGCAUAAAAAAUAUCUACAAGUGAUUCAAAACAUAAAUAAUAGGGUUUUUCCUGGAAAGCUGUAUUAUGAAACUAAAAUAUUAUACAGCAUAACAUUUCAUUAGUUUAAAUUUAUUACUAAAUAAGUUGUGAAAACUACUUAUUUGAAUUUUUUUUAAACACUAUAUUAAUUCAGACCUUAAAAUUGGUAUUUGCUUUCAAUAUAUACAGAAUAAUACGUAUAAAUCAGUUUGCUAUGGUGGUAAAUGUAACCCAUUUCACAUGAGCCUGGAUUUAAAUCUUGUUUUUUUCUCUAAUGCAAUUUUUAAGAUGACUUUAUACAACACUAACCUCCGAUACGUUCAUACUUACCUUGUCUUACAAAAAAUGCGAAAACUAGAAAACAACUAAAAUGGUGUAAGUAAAAAUUUAAAAAAUGACAGACUAGAUAUAGACACAGAAGAAAACAACACUCUCUCUCUGCUCAGUUGAAAUUUAUUUUUUAACAGUGUCUACAUUCGAAUUGUACCCAUUUUUUGGGAAUGACUGUGCAAUGUUAUCUUAAAGAUGUACUUCGUUGAAAUUUAAAAAAAAUCUAUAAUUAAAAAUUGAUAUUAUAAGUUGAAAGAGCACUAGUUGAGGUACAAACUAAAAUACAAAUAGUGAUAUGUUAUUGAGCUUCUUUUUGAGAUAUUUGAUUUAAUUUGUUUUUAUUAAUUACAGGAACAAGAUAACUCGAACUCUUUCCCAAGUCAGGAUCUGAUGUUCAGUCGUUGUCGUUUGUUGAUGUGUUUCAUAAGAGUUUCACGUUUCUCGUUUUGUUAUAUAGAUUAGAUUGUUAGUUUUCUCAUUUAAAUGGUUUUACACUAGUAGUUUUUAGGCCCUGUAGGGCUUGCUGUUCGGUGUGAGCUCCGUGUUAAAGACCGUAACUUGACCUAAAAUGGUUUAUUUUACUUUUAUAAAUUGUGACUUGGACGGAGAGUUGUCUUAUUAACACUCAUACCACAUCUUCCAAUAUUUAUUUAACCUUAUAUUUGCAUUGGAAUUAUUAUGGCAUCAAAUCGAAACAAAAUACAUUAAGAACUCGCUUUAUUGUUGGUAAAUUACCAUUUAUGAGUUAUUAAUGUCUUAUAUAAAGAGAAAAUGGUCCAAAAAGCUUACCCUGUAUUAAUGGACAAAAACACAAGGAGUCCAAACCUCUGACACAUUGCUUAAAACUCACUUAUGUACAUCCUUAAAACGAAAAUUUUUUCCUUUCUUUUUUUACCAAGGCACUGUCGAUUUAAACAUUCCCAUGACCUCUUUGUCUCCUCUCUCUUUUGUGUUUUUUUUAACUUAAAGGAGAGCUAAAGGUUAAAACUGGCGAAUGACGUAUCAGAAGCAUUGCUACUGACGACACAAGAAAUUGGUUGAACUAUUUUAUAUAUCUAAAUCUGUGAAGCUAGCAUAAAAUAACCGAUGAGGCAUUGUUUCAUACUAACUUCCUUAACACAUGAGAUCCCCCAGGCCGAUGUCUAAAGGGGGUUCGUCUUGCUCAGUAUAUAUCUACGUUGUGCACUGUAGUUUGUCGCUUUGUCUUUUUCUUCUUCACCAUGGCGAUGUCAGUCUGUAUUUGAUUUGUUAGUUCGAAAAAAUAUCCCUUUGGUAUCAUCUGCUUCUCUUUUAUUCCCUUUUAGUCGUGGUAUUCAAUAAUUAGACAAGCUUGAUAAAUUUAAAAACAAUUGCAAAUCCAUAUUUUUGCUGCGUCGAUAUGUAUAGCAUUCUUCAAAAAUUUUGGCAUGGUUCAAUAAAUUGUUUCUUUUCUGAAUUUUGAAAUAUACCGUAGAUAAUUCAAAUAGAACAGAUAUUAAAAUCAUUCCUGCAUUUUACGAAAAAGUGGCGAAUGGUACCAGAAGAAUAGUCAAAUUAACCAUCGCUAAUAUGUAUUUAAUACUUGGCCUACGAUUUUACUUAUCCACGCGUACCGGAGGAUAUUUGCGUACAAAAGGAUAUUUGCAACAGUUAAUUCCAGUUUUUAGAAAGUCAAGUUUACAACACAAUACAUAUCUCAAUUCAAACAUUACAUAUACAGAAAAAUCUCAGUAAAUAAAGGUAGCAUAAUAAAAGCAAUGAAAGAAUCUAACCCGCUGAAGUGUUACAUUGCUUUUAAAUUUAGGCAAUGUGGUAAGAUAGGUAAAGUCUCGAUGUCAAACAUAAACACUAGACUCAUGCGUUUAUAGAUGGUUUAAAGACUAACAAUAAGAAGAUUUUGAGGAACAAAAUGUGACUUUUUUAUCUUAUUUUUUGAGAAAUUACAUACCAUAAACAUUUGGAUUUUAAAAUGAUGGCUUCUCUAUGUUACCGACGGGUUUAACGUGCAAUCUAACUCUUCAAAAUAUUUACCAACAUCCAAUAAAAAUUAUGCCUCCAAACUAAUUCCAUUAGAAUGUCAUGAUUUAUAACUGAGACAUCAUCAACACUGCUACUAAAACUACCUCCAUUAGUGUUAUAUGUAAUGAAAGAUGGAAAAUAGAUUUUCGAUUAUAUAAAUUAAAUGCAGUAUUGUUUUACUUCAGUUACGCAUCUUUAAUCUAUUCUGAAUAUGCAAAGCUCCUGGUGCGGGAUUGUUUUCGGUUUUUUAAAGACCCAUUUGUGGCCUUUGGUGGUUUUCUUCUGUUUGGUCGGGUUGUUAUCUCUUUUGCACACACCCCGUUUCCAUUCUCAAAUUUACUACUUACUCAUUCUACUGCUUUAUUUGGAAAAGUUUCGUUAAUAGGCUUGCUUCCAUUCAAGAAUAACUUUCAUGGUUGAGUGUGCUUACACAUAUAAAUGCAAUAUAAAGUUAAAAAUAUAAUGUUAAAGACAUGGCAGUUGUUAUCUUAUAGUUCGUUUCUGUGUGUGUUACAUUAUCAUUUUGUUUUUUUGUUGCACUUCAGUGUUUCUGUUGUAUCGUUGUUUUCUAUUAUAUUAGUUAAUGUUUUCUUCAGUUUUAGUUUGUAACCCGGAUUUGUUUUUCUCAAUCGAUUUAUGACUUUCGAACAGCGGUAUACUACUGUUUCUCUUAAUUAUAGUUCCCAUUACUAAGACCUUCGGCAUUCAAGAUUUAGACCUUUGACGUUGAGAAUUUCGUUAGGCUUACAUGGUGUUUUUUUCAAAUAAUGUUUUUUUCUUGUUUUUGCAACUCUUGUGGCGAUCCAUCAAAUUGAUCUUUUAAUAGAUUCAAUUAAUCUUUAUAACAAAAUUGUCUUAAUUCUGAAAACAUUUAAGAAAAGUUAACGUAUCAAUUGCAGUGUUUGUUGACAAAUCAGGAACGGUAAAUUUUGUUCGAAAGCAACUGAACACAAAUUUAACCUAACUUAUUUUCAAUGUUUUUUUUUUAUUUAGUAUUUCCUGAAUAUGCAAAUAAUCUCUUCAAACUGGAAGGAAAUCACCUAUAAUUCAUCAAGCCUUUCAUGAAGGAAGAUACACCGCACCGUUGAAUGAAGAAGGUAUGAAAAUCAAACAAAAACACAGAUGUAUGUUAUAUUUUAUGUAACAUGAGCACACAUGAUAGAAAGAUAAUAUUGCGGAUAUAUAUAUAAUAUGAUUUUGUUCAAAAUGUUUUUUAGCAUGUCUAACAUUAGGAAAUGUGGAAAACUUCAAUUUUUUUUCAAAGGCAAUUGUUUUUUACAGUUUAGCUAGCAGAAUGCCUUAACAUUUUAUGUUAUCUAGUUGUCUCGAACCCAAAUAAGAAAAUGCAUGGCAUUUGAAAUAGCUUAUAGUCUAAAUAGCAUAGGAGUACUAUCUAUUAAACAAAGUAUAUCAAAAAUAUGAUAAACACCAUCUAUUCUAAAUAAAGAUAUCGACAAUUCUAGGUUAUUUGGGUAUUGAGUUAAAGUAUACAGCUUUGGAUAUUUAAAGACAACGGAAAUGCAUAGUAUAGGUGUCUUCCUAAUCCACUUGCAUACAUUUCAAACAUUACUGAAUAUGUUAUAUGAAAAAUAUUUUCCAUUGUAUAACCCUAUCAUAAGUGGCAAAAAAUCUCAAAAAUUUUUAAAGUGACGCCUCCACUUUUUAUUUCUAUUAUCCUACUAAUUUUAAAUUUAAACUUGAUAUUUUAUCUUUUUCGAAAACAAUUGUUAUUGCUAUAAUAUGACAAAGUAAGACAAAAUAUAUUAGAUUAUAUAUCGAUUAACAUGUUAACUAACAAUUGUUCCAUUAUUCGUCGGAUUAAAUACGCAUUACAAUUAUUCCUUUGUUACUUAAAAAGAUUGUAUUGGUAUCGUAUUACUUUUUUUAUUCUAUACUUGAAUUAAACUAAAGGAAUAGUUAUAAGGUAAAUGUUUAACAAAACGGCUUUUGGUAAAUGAUCAUAAAACAAAACAAAAACACAUCUAUACAUGGUCAUUCAUACCUUCUACAGUUAUAGCUGAUGACAAUUGUUUUCAAAAAUGGUAACAUAUCUAUAAAAGAAAACGUAUCGACUUUUAACUGCUAACUAAAUUUAGUCAGAUGCACCGAAUUUUGCUAGUUAAAGGUAAAAGAACUAGUUAAAAUUUACCACACUGUGUUUUUUGUUUGGUAAAACAGUCCCUCCCAAAGGAAAAUCUAAAAUAGGGAUAUCUUUGAUACAAAACGAUUGAACGAUACUGUUACAGCAAUGCAAUAUGUUGUAUCUUCACAUUUUAAAUCAUAAAGUUCUACUGUCUAAGAAAAGUACAUGUAUUUAAAAAUAAGUGUUGGUUUUCAUAAUAUUUUCAACAUAAAAAUAUUGAACAUGUUUUAUACUCCAAUUCUUAGAAAGAAAAUACUAAAAAAAAAUUACAAUGUCACGUUUUAUACAAAAUAAGACGAUAAUAAAGCAAUAAAAACAAAUCUUUGCAUUGCUACCUAUUUCAAACAUCAUUGGAGCAAGAAAGAAAUUAAACAUUUAAGAUAAUAAGUGAUUCAAAACAAUCAAAACAAAAACAUGUUGAAAUAAAAAUUACAAAUUCUUGAAAAUACGCUUUUCCUUUUAUAAUAUCAUCAUUUAAUGCAUAGCUCUUUUAAAUAAUUAAAAUUUUCAUACUUUUUUCUCCCAAUUUUCAAUGAUCAGUUCUAUAAGAUUUAUCUAACGUGAAGAGAGCUUGGCAACUGUCAUUACACUCUAGGCAUAGGAUGGUAUGUGCAUAUUUCGACCGUGCAUUAAUAUACGAUUAUACAUUAUGCAUUGCUAUACAAAAAGCAAUAAAACAAUACCAAUAAAAGUACAUUUCUAAUUUGUUAUCCAGCGUUAGCAGGUCAUACUGUUAGUAUAUUGUUACUAUACUAAGAAUUGUCUAGUAUGUAGCAUAGCAGGUAGUUCACGUGAUAUACAAACUUAUUCUAAGAUCUGCCUAAUUGUUUUGAACAAAUGAAAUCAUCAUAUACAACCAAUAUAAAUGAUGGAGAAAAAACGAAAGUUUGGUUAGUCUCUGAUUUUAAUUUAAACUCUACGCGGUUCUUUAGAGCACUCUGUAUAUUACUUUUUAUAUACAUAUAUUUGGUUAGUAUGGCGAAAUUAUAACACAAAUGGUUUACUUUCUAGAAAUGCUUCAUAUUUGCUAAAGCAAUGAUAGUAAAUCUAUUUUAGAAGAAACUAUAAUCUUAUUUACAUAUUGUUUAGACAAAACAUCUAAUGUAACACACUUAAUAAGCCAAAUGCUUGCCGCAAGUCCGUGUAUAUAAUUACAGAUAUGUGGCGUCAAAUAGAGGUUAUAUCUCUAUUAAUAAGAUUUGAUUGCCUUUUGAAGCUGUUCCCAAAAAACAACAUCGCCGUACUCAUCAUUUGGAUACUCAAUAUAUGAUUGACAAUGAACCAGUUCAAGUAUUUUAAGUGGAAGAUCGCAAGCAGACAUUUGCUCGUAAAAUACUAGGAAAAGGAUGUUCUCACAAUGACGUUCAUAGAUACUCUCCAUUUUAGCCAUAUUAUAUUCGAACAUACACCAGUACGAAGCUAAAUAAUUUGCAGACAUUAUGACAAUAGUUUUCCGGCUGUUAUGAAUUGCGGAUGUGAUAUUAGUGGCGAUGUCAUUUCCGGGUAGGAAAUUCCGCCUAUGCAAGCACAAUUGGAUUCCACCAUUUUUCUCUAGAUUAUUGAGAAGUUUAUGGUGGACAAAUGUGUCAUCCUCAUUUGCAUAUGACACGAACGCAUCAUACAUGUAUAGUCGUUCAUCUUUGUCGUCUGAACGAGGUUCGGGGUCAUGCCAUUUGACUUUGACCAUGUAGUAAAGAUAGCGUAGUUUCCAUCUAUAUCUGUAAACAAUACCACCACAAAGAAUAAAAAUAAACAUCAAUAUUCCUGUCGUUAAUCCAAUUAUUAAGCCUUCAUAUGACAUACAUUCCUUUUGUAUUGUUUUAAAAACUUCUCUAGGGUUUUGCAGAAGACUGAUGGUGUUUUGUGAUGUUUUACAUUCGUAUUCUUCCCGAUGAUGAAGAAUGGUUGAUGUGUAAAUUAUCCAUUUGACGAAAGACUGAGAAUCACAAUUACAUGCAAGAUUAUUUUCAGCAAGGUCAAUAGUAAGAUUUUUAUUAAUUUUGGCAAUCGAGUCCAACUCGUUCAUGGCAUAUUGACUCAGCGUAGUUAUUCUAUUAUUCCGUAA